rnacentral:rRNA from 1 species
CCGAGACCGAUAGCGAACAAGUAGAGUGAUCGAAAGAUGAAAAGCACUUUGAAAAGAGAGUUAAACAGCACGUGAAAUUGUUGAAAGGGAAGCGCUUGCAACCAGACUCGGCCUCGGGGUUCAGCCAGCAUUCGUGCUGGUGUACUUCCCCGGGGCCGGGCCAGCGUCGGUUUGGGCGGCCGGUCAAAGGCCCCAGGAAUGUAUCGUCCUCCGGGACGUCUUAUAGCCUGGGGUGCAAUGCGGCCAGCCUGGACCGAGGAACGCGCUUCGGCACGGACGCUGGCGUAAUGGUCGCAAACGACCCGUCUUGAAACACGGACCAAGACUCUU